UACGUAGGCAGCGAGCGUUGUUCGGAAUUACUGGGCGUAAAGAGUGUGUAGGCGGUGCUCUAAGUUCGGUGUGAAAUCUCCCGCUUAACUGGGAGGGUGCGCCGGAAACUGGAGUGCUCGAGCGUGGGAGAGGGAAGCGGAAUUCCUGGUGUAGCGGUGAAAUGCGUAGAUAUCAGGAGGAACACCUGCGGUGUAGACGGCUUUCUGGACCAUUGCUGACGCUGAGACACGAAAGCGUGGGUAGCAAACAGG
rnacentral:rRNA from 1 species